CAAGGGACGUAUGUGCCCGAGGUGAACUCAACAGGCGCUUUGAGCUGCGAUGCAGAUCAAAGUGCAGGUACCUUGGCAACUGAAUAUGGAACAACCUCGAAGAAGUACAACCGGUAACCGACAUGCGAGUAGCAGGUAUGCACCGGAAGUAUAGACGGUGAAGUUAGGAAGAGCGCACGGAGGAUGCCUAGGCGCCAAGAGCCGAAGAAGGACGGGGCGAAC
rnacentral:misc_RNA from 1 species